GCAGGUAUAGCUCAGUGGUAGAGUGCGUGCUUAGCAUGUAUGAGGCCCUGGGUUCAAUCCCUAGUACCUCCA